rnacentral:rRNA from 1 species
UACGUAGGGUCCAAGCGUUAUCCGGAAUCACUGGGCGUAAAGGGUGCGUAGGCGGGUUGGUAAGUCCGUGGUGAAAUCCCCAAGCUUAACUUGGGAACUGCCGUGGAUACUAUCAAUCUUGAAUAUCGUGGAGGUAAGCGGAAUAUGUCAUGUAGCGGUGAAAUGCUUAGAUAUGACAUAGAACACCAAUUGCGUAGGCAGCUUACUACACGAUCAUUGACGCUGAGGCACGAAAGCGUGGGGAGCAAACAGG